rnacentral:rRNA from 1 species
AAGGCCUUCGGGUUGUAAAGCCCUUUUGUUGGGAAAGAAAUCCAGCNGGCUAAUACCNGGUUGGGAUGACGGUACCCAAAGAAUAAGCACCGGCUAACUUCGUGCCAGCAGCCGCGGUAAUACGAAGGGUGCAAGCGUUACUCGGAAUUACUGGGCGUAAAGCGUGCGUAGGUGGUCGUUUAAGUCCGUUGUGAAAGCCCUGGGCUCAACCUGGGAACUGCAGUGGAUACUGGNCGACUAGAGUGUGGUANAGGGUAGCGGAAUUCCUGGUGUAGCAGUGAAAUGCGUANAGAUCAGGANGAACAUCCAUGGCGAAGGCAGCUACCUGGACCAACACUGACACUGAGGCACGAAAGCGUGGGGAGCAAACAGGAUUANAUACCCUGGUAGUCCACGCCCUAAACGAUGCGAACUGGAUGUUGGGUGCAAUUUGGCACGCAGUAUCGAAGCUAACGCGUUAAGUUCGCCGCCNGGGGAGUACGGUCGCAAGA